GCUGAAACAACUAAUCGAUUUAAUCGAUUAUAAUCGAUUAUUAAAAUAGUUAACAACUUUUUUAGUCAUCGAUUAGUUGUUUAAUAAUCAUAUUUUACCGCAUAAAGUCUAUUUUUUACCACAAUCUGACAUCGGUUACAAUCUGUUAAAUUUGCCGCCAGUGUGUGGCAGUAAUGAGCCACUGAUCUACCAGUGGGACCGUAGAAGAAGAAAUUAGCCAAUAAGUGCCCUCGGUUUUCAUGACGUAUCACGUUACUGACGCGCAUCUUGCUGUGAGAGAUGGCGGAUCAACAACAAAUACGGAAGAAAAAUAGAAGCGACAAAACAAGAGAAACCCCGGACAAAAACCUCACGAGUAUGGGAGCACUUCACUAGAUGCCUUGAAAAGACCGGUGACCUACAAAAUAUGCAAAAACCAUGGCACGACGGAAGCACGACGUCCCUAAGUGAACAUUUGAGACGAAAACGUGGGGGCUGAUGCAGCAGAGGAAUGUCCGAAAAAAACAAGCAACGAUGGACAACUACAUGGGGAACAAGACACUCACCCCCAGCAAUGCAUACCACUUACAAACUCUAUUCCAGAUUCUACAUUAUUUUUUAUGGAAUUUACCUCUUAUAUUUUGAUGCCAAAAAAUUAUUCUGGACUGAUAUUUUGCACUGUUUAGCUCAUUUUACACUGCUGACUGUGGUCAUGUGCAAUAAAAUAGAUUGCAGUCAACUGCACAA